UACGUAGGGGGCUAGCGUUGUCCGGAUUUAUUGGGCGUAAAGAGCGUGUAGGCGGCCAGGUAGGUCUGCUGUGAAAACUCGAGGCUCAACCUCGAGACGUCGGCGGAAACCAUCUGGCUAGAGUCCGGAAGAGGAGACUGGAAUUUACGGUGUAGCGGUGAAAUGCGUAGAUAUCGUAAGGAAGACCAGUGGCGAAGGCGGGUCUCUGGACAGUUCCUGACGCUGAGGCACGAAGGUCAGGGGAGCAAACGGG
rnacentral:rRNA from 1 species